UGAUCCCUGGCUCAGGACGAACGCUGGCGGCAUGCCUAAUACAUGCAAGUCGAGCGAAUGAUGAAGAAGCUUGCUUCUUCUGAUUUAGCGGCGGACGGGUGAGUAACACGUGGGCAACCUGCCCUGUAGAUUGGGAUAACUCCGGGAAACCGGGGCUAAUACCGAAUAAUCCAUUUCCUCACAUGUGGAAAUGUUAAAAGACGGUUUCGGCUGUCACUACAGGAUGGGCCCGCGGCGCAUUAGCUAGUUGGUAAGGUAACGGCUUACCAAGGCGACGAUGCGUAGCCGACCUGAGAGGGUGAUCGGCCACACUGGGACUGAGACACGGCCCAGACUCCUACGGGAGGCAGCAGUAGGGAAUCUUCCACAAUGGACGAAAGUCUGAUGGAGCAAUGCCGCGUGAGUGAAGAAGGUUUUCGGAUCGUAAAACUCUGUUGUGAGGGAAGAACAAGUACGAGAGUAACUGCUCGUACCUUGACGGUACCUCAUAGAAAGCCACG
rnacentral:rRNA from 1 species